AGUGGAAUGGCUGGGUUAGAUGGUAAGUUUAUUUUCAAGAAACUGCCAAGCUCUUUUCCAAAAUGCCUGUACCACUUCAUGUUCCUAGCAGG
rnacentral:pre_miRNA from 1 species